UCAAGGGUCAGAUGCUUAACCCACUGAGCAAACCCAGGUGUCCCUAGAUACCACUUUUUAAAUUUACUUGCACUCUCUGUUGAUUAACUUGAAACUUAUUCAGAAAGCUUCAAAAAUUUGUGAUCUUCAGACACGUUCCUGGGGCCAGCAUUGGUUGGGAAAACUCUGGUACAGGGUGAGUUUCGGGGAGCACCAGACCGGCCCCAGAGCUCCUGCACAGUCCAGGCCACAGAACACACGAACCCCCAGUGGAAGGCGCCCCUGUACUCCACUGAGCAGACAGAAGUGCAUGGCAAGGACUAAACAUGACAUCUGAGAGCAGAGGUUUUAUUUACAAUGAUAAACAGGAUUUAGCCAAAGAUACCUGUUCCUCCCCCUCUUUUCAGCACAAGCUGCACUUCAUCAACAAAAAAGAAAUUUCCUGGGGGCAGGAAGUGAACGCUCUGCUCAAGUAACUUUCUGCUAAAGCCCACACAAGUUCCGCGCUCCCCAGCUCUGAGUAGGGUGGUUGGUGGACACUACAUUAGCAGCUGGGAUCAAUUCCUGCAUCCCCUCGGGAACGUGUCCAGGGAAGACGUCGCAGGGAGAACGUCAGGCUUUCACUUCACUCAUGGCUUCCAUGAGGCGAGCACUGUUUGUGACUGCCGUGGUC